AUGAGCCUUGGCACCCCAGGGACACAAAGCUCUGGGAAGCCAAGACACCAGCUUGGGCAGCGCCAGGGUGGCAAAGGGGAAAAUGCAACCAAAGCAAACCCACCGGUGCUCAGAGCCUGGCAGCUGCCUGUGCUCGCCCAGGCUCUGUCCGCUGCCCACCCGGCCCUGGGGAAUGAUGAGGGGGCAGCUCACCGUGAACACUGCCCCAAGCAGCCUCCGCUGGGCUCCCCUGAGCUGCUCCCGGGACAGCCGGGGUCCAGGCGCCAGCAGAGACCUGCCAGCGCCCAGGGACAGGGGAAGGGUGAGGGCGAGCAGACCAUCCCGCAGCCGCUGCCGCCGCCUCCUCCACCGGCGGAGGGGCAGACCUGCGUGGGACACGGGCUCACUUUCAAGGCAUCCUCCUCAGGUCAGAUUUUGCCCCAUCCUGCCCUUGUGGGCUGCACUAGAUCCCCCACUUCUCCUCCACCCCAGGGGCUACCUAGCCACCCCCUGCUCACCCAGAGCACCAUGCCACUACCCCAGGUGCUGCUGUUCCCAAGGUGCCCACGCCAGGCUGCCCAGCAGGGGCAGAGAGUGCUCCCAAAGCCCUCAGCUCGGAGCAGGCUGCCACCAACCUGCACCUACGGCAAGGAGGGGUAUCUCUGCACACACCUACUGGCCUCUGGGACUCAGGUGGGCAUGGGGGAAAGAGGGUGAGCAGGAAGCGGACAACGUCAGUCACAGCCAUGUAGGCACCUGUGAGGAUCUGGAGAGAGACACGACAGCACAAGGAGGCUGAACCUCCCUGAAAUGCAAAACCUCAGGGAGCAGCUCACAGCCCCCCAUGGAGGGGCUGCAUUUGCCACACUGUCUUGAGACAGGCUGCCAAAAUCCAUCCUCUCCAGGCCCAGCACCCCAGGGCAGGAGAGCAGCACCUCCACCAGGCAGGUGUGGGUCCCACAGCCACAGCAGAAGCUGGACAGGGUGCAGGGGGGUGUCCCCACCCCACCGCACGGAGUUUGCCCACCUGGAUGCCGAGCUGGCUGGCAAGCAGUGCUCCGACUGUGUUGCAGAUGUGGCCCAGGAAGCUGUACAGGAGGCAGAGGAUGGACGCCUGCCGCCGGCCCUGCCCUGGGCACCCACAGGACAACCUAAGGCAGAAGGACAGGCUGCUCCAGCCAUGCUCAGCACCGCAGGAUGUCAGAGCAGAGCAGCCCCACAGCCUCCUGCAGCCCAGCCCCGGG
rnacentral:lncRNA from 1 species